rnacentral:rRNA from 1 species
AAAUUGAAGAGUUUGAUCAUGGCUCCAGAUUGAACGCUGGCGGCAGGCUAACACAUGCAAGUCGAACGGUAACGGGAAGCAGCUUGCUGCUUCGCUGACAAGUGGCGGACGGGUGGUAAUGUCUGGGAAACUGCCUGAUGGAGGGAUAACUACUGGAAACGGUGGCUAAUACCGCAUGACGUCGCAAGACCAAGAGGGGACCUUCGGGCCUCUUGCCAUCCAGAUAUUGCUUGAAUGGGAUUAGCUUGUUGGUGGUAACGGCUCACCAGGCGACGAUCCUAGCUGGUCUGAGGAUGACCAUACCUGGAACUGGGGCACGGUCCAGACUCUACGGGAGGCAGCUUGAUGAAAUAUUGCACAAUGGGCGCAAGCCUGAUGCAACCACAUGCCGCGUGUAUGAAGAAGGCCUUCGGGUUGUAAAGUACUUUCGGCGGGGAGGAAGGUGUUGUGGUUAAUAACCACAGCAAUUGACGUUCCGCAGAAGAAGCUGCAACACAACUCCGUGCCAGCAACCGCGGUAAUACGGAGGGUGCAAGCGUUAAUCCUUACUGGGCGUAAAGCGCACGCAGAGCGGUCUGUCAAGUCGGAUGUGAAAUCCCGGGCAGCAGGAACUGCAUUCGAAACUGGCAGGCAGGUCUUGUAGGGGUAGGGUAUUCCGGUGUAGCGGUGAAAAUGCGUAGAGAUGCUGGAGGAAUACCGGUGGCGAGAGCGGCCUGGCGGACAAGGCGGCGCUCAGGUGCGAAAGCGUGGGAGCAAACAGGAUGCCAAAUACCUGGUAGUCCCACGCCGUAAACGAUGUCUACUUGGAGGUUGUGCCCGCGAGGCGUGGCUUCAGGUAACGCGCGUUAAGUAGACCGCACGGGAGUACGGCCGCAAGGUUAAAACUCAAAUGAAUUGACGGGGGCCCGCACAAGCGGUGGAGCGUAAUGGUUUAAUUCGAUGCAACGCGAAGAACUUAGCGGUGUUGACAUCCUGGGAACUUUCAGAGAUGGUUAGUUGCCUUCGGGGCCUGUGGGAACAGGUGCUGCAUGGCUGUCAUCAGCUCGUGUUGUGAAAUGUUGGGUUAAGUCCGCAGCAGGCACAACCUUGUCAUUUGUUGCCAGCGGUGGGUCGAGACUCAAGAGCUGCCAGUGAUAAACUGGAGGAAGGUGGGAUGACGUCAGAAGUCAUCGCCCAAUCCACUUGACGAGGGGGCUACACACGAUGUACAAUGGCGCGCAUACAAAGAAGCGACCUCGCGAGGCAAGCGGACCUCAUAAAGUGCGUCGUAGUCCCGGAUUGAGUCUGUAACUCGACUCCAUGAAGUCGAAUCGCUAGUAUCGUGGAUCAGAGAAUGCCACGUGGGCACGUUCCCAGGCGCUUGUACACCGCCCGUACACCAUGAAAUUGGGUUGCAAAGAAGUAGGUAGCAACACCUUCGGAGGGCGCUUACCACUUUGUGAUUCGCCUUGACUGGGGUGAAGUCGUAACAAGGUAACAAGCCAGGGGAACCUGCGGUUGGAUCGCCUCACUU